UUUCUUGGCAUAUUCCUCUUGCUACACUCAUUUUAGUUCAGUUUUCUUGUUUAGUAUUCAUAUCAUGGGUUAGGUGGGACAUGUUCCAUGAACAGAAAGUUGCAUUGUUCUCGUGUGCUAGAUGAGCUGUAGGAUCAUUUAAACUUCUUGUAUUCCUAUUUGAGAUUAUGUCUCCUGGCAGUUUGAGCUUCACAUCUUGCUUUCUCUCAUUUGAUGCAUUCUUUUUAGCAUACCAUAUUCUAUUAUUGCUUCGUUCUGUUGCAGUCUUCAAAAAAAAUUGCAUUGUCAAGAAGUUCCUUCUAAGUUAACCAUUUCGUGUGAGCGAGAGAAUCUUAUUCCUGAGUUUCUUGUUCCAUUCUGACUUGCUCUA
rnacentral:lncRNA from 1 species